rnacentral:rRNA from 1 species
GCGACGACGGGUAGCCGGCCUGAGAGGGCGACCGGCCACACUGGGACUGAGACACGGCCCAGACUCCUACGGGAGGCAGCAGUGGGGAAUAUUGCACAAUGGGCGAAAGCCUGAUGCAGCGACGCCGCGUGAGGGAUGACGGCCUUCGGGUUGUAAACCUCUUUCAGCAGGGAAGAAGCGCAAGUGACGGUACCUGCAGAAGAAGCGCCGGCUAACUACGUGCCAGCAGCCGCGGUAAUACGUAGGGCGCAAGCGUUGUCCGGAAUUAUUGGGCGUAAAGAGCUCGUAGGCGGCUUGUCACGUCGGAUGUGAAAGCCCGGGGCUUAACCCCGGGUCUGCAUUCGAUACGGGCUAGCUAGAGUGUGGUAGGGGAGAUCGGAAUUCCUGGUGUAGCGGUGAAAUGCGCAGAUAUCAGGAGGAACACCGGUGGCGAAGGCGGAUCUCUGGGCCAUUACUGACGCUGAGGAGCGAAAGCGUGGGGAGCGAACAGGAUUAGAUACCCUGGUAGUCCACGCCGUAAACGUUGGGAACUAGGUGUUGGCGACAUUCCACGUCGUCGGUGCCGCAGCUAACGCAUUAAGUUCCCCGCCUG